CGUCAUAAAAUAAAUAAAUAAAUCAUUGAUUCUACUUGUUAUUUUCUUCCCCAGUUUGACUAGCAAGCAAAUUUUAAGAAAUAUUUUCUUCCUUAUUUUUUUUCCCAUAACAACAGUCGCGAUUUUAAGAGCUGGACGGUAAGAUCUCUAUCGAAAGCAGGGGGCUGGCUGUUCUCUUUUAUCAAGGACACGAGCAAGGAGUUGACAAAGUCAACCUUUCGAUGUUGUGGCACUUUGAUAGGUUAGGCUCGAUUGACUUUGUCAAUGUUACUAGGAGUUGGGGUGAGCAAAAUUCAGUAGAAGCUCGAUGAAGAGUUUACUAAGCCAAGGGUUGAAGGUGGCUUUGUUAUCCAUCCUGAUAUGCCACCGAAGGGCAACAGGCAAAGCUGCAAGGAGGUUUUCAUUGUUCUCAUGGAAAAGUGAGGAGCACUAUCUGUCUAUCCAUAGAGUCAGCUUUUGGUGAAGAUUUGUUCAUUUGUUGCAUGAGGGGAGACAGGAAAAGCAGAUGACAACUGGUAGGGAAUGGC
rnacentral:lncRNA from 1 species